rnacentral:rRNA from 1 species
GCAGCCGCCACGGUAAUGCGAAGGGGGCUAGCGUUGCUCGGAAUCACUGGGCGUAAAGGGCGCGUAGGCGGCCGAUCAAGUCAGAGGUGGAAGCCCAAGGCUCAACCUUGGAAUUGCCUUUGAUACUGUUCGGCUCGAGACCGGAAGAGGUUAGUGGAACUGCGAGUGUAGAGGUGAAAUUCGUAGAUAUUCGCAAGAACACCAGUGGCGAAGGCGGCUAACUGGUCCGGUUCUGACGCUGAGGCGCGAAAGCGUGGGGAGCAAACAGGAUUAGAUACCCGUGUAGUCCCUGUCUCUUAUAC